rnacentral:rRNA from 1 species
UACGUAGGCAGCAAGCGUUGUUCGGAGUUACUGGGCGUAAAGAGUGCGUAGGUGGUGCCCUAAGUCUGUUGUGAAAAUCUCCCGGCUUAACUGGGAGGGUGCGGUGGAAACUGGGGUGCUUGAGUGUGGGAGAGGUAAGCGGAAUUCCUGGUGUAGCGGUGAAAUGCGUAGAUAUGACAUAGAACACCAAUUGCGAAGGCAGCUCACUACACAAAGAUUGACACUGAGGCACGAAAGCGUGGGGAUCAAACAGG